AUGGAAAACCUAGAGCCUGUUCUGAAGAAAAUCUUUGAGCAGCAUCCUCUAGCAUCAGCCGAACACUCCAGACCUAAGGGUCAAACAGACUCUAUGAGACAUGAACAGAAAGGACGAAACAGCGACGAGGAACAAGGAGGCAGUGAUGGCUGUCAGUCCACUGGUUUGAGUUCCAUCAAGACUAAGUUCACAGAGCAGAUGAAAAGAGAUAGCAGGUUCCGAUGUUGGAUGAAUGUGAAGAUGUUCGGCAAUGACCUCACCUUUAUGACCUGUGAUGAUCUCCAUGCGUAUCAGAGAAAGCUGUCACUUAGUACAGCUGGUGUUGUUGUCAAGUUGUUAAAGGUAAGAAAUUAUUUCUCAAGCUGCUACUUAAAGGAGCAUUCUUGGUUCAAUACUCUGGUCACCGUUUAAGGUCAAAUUCUCACUAUUAAAUAUGACUUUUGCCUUAAUAAACUCCUAAUUUGCUAAUUAGUAAUAGUUAAG
ensembl:lncRNA